GACGAACGCUGGCGGCAGGCCUAACACAUGCAAGUCGAGCGAGCGGCGGACGGGUGAGUAAUGUAUGGGGACUGCCUGAUAGACGGGGAUAACUACUGGAAACGGUGGCUAAUACCGCAUACUAUCGGAUAACCCAUAUGGGAUUCGCUAGUAGGUGGGGUAAGGGCUCACCUAGGCGACGAUCUCUAGCUGGUCUGAGAGGAUGAUCAGCGGCACUGGGACGGGGACACGGUCGAGACUCCUACGUAAGCAGCAGUGGGGAAUAUUGCACAGUGGGCGAUAGCCUGAUACAGCCAUGCCGCGUGUGUAAAGAAGGCCAUGGGGUUGUAAAGUACUUUCAGCGGGGAGGCGGUACCCGGAGAAGAAGCGCCGGCUAACUACGUGCCAGCAGCCGCGGUAAUAC
rnacentral:rRNA from 1 species